AAUAAAAAAAAUAGUUUUAUUUUUAUUAGUAAAAAUAUUUUUAAAAAAAUAAUUUUUUUUUUAGUAAUUUUUAAAAAUAAUAAUUUUUAAAAAUUUACAGUAAUGGAAAAUUUUAUUAUAUUAAAAGUAAUUUUUAAUUAAUGUACCUUUUGUAUCAGGGUUAAUUAAUUUAAAUAUAAAUAAUAUUAUAAUUCUCGAAUUUAGAAGAUCUAAAAAAAUAUAUUUGUUAAUGUAAUAUAAUUAUAAAAAAUAUUUUUUUAGGAAUGAAAUUUUAUUCAAUUUUAAUAUAUCUAGUUAUCUAAGAAAUAAAUUUAAUUUAGUAUAUAUAAAUAUUUUGAUAAUUAAAUUUUUUUUAUAUUAUAUAUAAAAAAUAUUAAGGGAUAAGCUUUAAUUUAUUUUAAAAUUUUUAAAAAAAUUAAAUUUUUGUAGAUUUAAAAAUGAUCAUCAUUUAUUUUGUUAUAAUAAAAAUUAUUAUUAAAAAAAUUUUUUUUAAUUUAAAUUUUUAUUAGAUUAAUUAUUUUAAUUAAGUUAAAUUAUAUAAUAAUGAUUAAAUUAAUAAUUUUGAAAAUUUAAAUUUAUGAAUUCGGCAAAUUUAAUUUUCACCUGUUUAACAAAAACAUGUUCUAAAGAAUUAAUUUUAGAUUUAAUCUGCCCUAUGAAAAUUUAAAUGGCUGCAGUAAUUUGACUGUACUAAGGUAGCAAAAUAAUUUGUUUUUUAAUUGAAAACCGGAAUAAAAGAUUUGAUGAAAAAUUAACUUUAUUAAUUUAAUUUUAAUUAAAUUAAUUUUUAGAUAAAAAAGUUUAAAUAUAAUUAUAGGACGAGAAGACCCUUUAAAACUUUAUAUUCAAUAAAAAAUAUUUUUUUUUAUUGAAUAUUAAAUUGGGGUGAUUAGUAAAUUUAAAUAACUUUACUUUAUUUUAUUUCAUAAAUUUAUGUUUUUUUGAUCCAAUAUUAUUGAUUAUAAGAAUAAGUUACUUAAGGGAUAACAGCGUAAUUUUUUUUGAGAGUUCGUAUUGAUAAAAAAGUUUGCGACCUCGAUGUUGAAUUAAGAAAAAUUAUAAAUGCAGAAGUUUAUAUGUUAAGUCUGUUCGACUUUUAGAUUCUUACAUGAUUUGAGUUCAGAUCGGCGUAAGCCAGAUUGGUUUCUAUCCUUAAUAAAAUUUUAUAUUUUUGUACGAAAGGACCAAAUAUUAAAAAUAAUUUUUAUGAUAAAUAUUAUAUUUUUA
rnacentral:rRNA from 1 species